AUUGAACGCUGGCGGCAGGCCUAACACAUGCAAGUCGAGCGGAGAGGCGGACGGGUGAGUGAUGCCUAGGAAUCAGCCUGGUAGUGGUGGAGAACGUCCGGAAACGGGAGCUAAUACCGCAUACCACUAGAAGAGCCUCGUUCGGAUUAGCUAGUUGGUGGGGUAAAGGCCUACCAAGGCGAAGAGCCGUAACUGGUGUUAGAGGAUGAUCAGUCACAAGGGAACUGAGAAACGGUCCAGAAUCGUACGGGAGGCAGCAGUGGGGAAUAUUGGACAAUGGGCGAAAGCCUGAUCCAGCCAUGCCGCGUGGGUGAAGAAGGUCGUCGGUUUGUAAAGCGCUUUGAGUUGGGAGGCGUUACCAACAGAAUAAGCACCGGCUAACUUCGUGCCAGCAGCCGCGGUAAUAC
rnacentral:rRNA from 1 species